rnacentral:rRNA from 1 species
UAAGGAAUAUUGGUCAAUGGACGCAAGUCUGAACCAGCCAUGCCGCGUGGAGGAUUAAGGCCCUCUGGGUUGUAAACUCCUUUUAUCUGGGAAGAAAUGUACUUUUUCUUGAGUACUUGACGGUACCAGAGGAAUAAGCACCGGCUAACUCCGUGCCAGCAGCCGCGGUAAUACGGAGGGUGCAAGCGUUAUCCGGAUUCACUGGGUUUAAAGGGUGCGUAGGUGGGCAGGUAAGUCAGUGGUGAAAUCUCCGGGCUUAACCCGGAAACUGCCGUUGAUACUAUUUGUCUUGAAUAUUGUGGAGGUAAGCGGAAUAUGUCAUGUAGCGGUGAAAUGCUUAGAUAUGACAUAGAACACCAAUCGCGAAGGCAGCUUACUACACAAUCAUUGACGCUGAGGCACGAAAGCGUGGGGAUCAAACA